GGACGAACGCUGGCGGCGUGCUUACCCCAUGCAAGUCGACCGGAAAGGCCCUGCUUUUGUGGGGUGCUCGAGUGGCGAACGGGUGAGUAACACGUGAGUAACCUGCCCUUGACUUUGGGAUAACUUCAGGAAACUGGGGCUAAUACCGGAUAGGAGCUCCUGCUGCAUGGUGGGGGUUGGAAAGUUUCGGCGGUUGGGGAUGGACUCGCGGCUUAUCAGCUUGUUGGUGGGGUAGUGGCUUACCAAGGCUUUGACGGGUAGCCGGCCUGAGAGGGUGACCGGCCACAUUGGGACUGAGAUACGGCCCAGACUCCUACGGGAGGCAGCAGUGGGGAAUAUUGCACAAUGGGCGGAAGCCUGAUGCAGCAACGCCGCGUGCGGGAUGACGGCCUUCGGGUUGUAAACCGCUUUCGCCUGUGACGAAGCGUGAGUGACGGUAAUGGGUAAAGAAGCACCGGCUAACUACGUG
rnacentral:rRNA from 1 species